rnacentral:tRNA from 2 species
GCGAGUGAAGCUCAACUGGUCGAGCGCCGGCCUUCCAAGCCGGAGGUAGUGGGUUCGAGACCCAUCACUCGCU